rnacentral:tRNA from 1 species
GGGGAUUUAGCUUAGUGGCAUAAGUGCCUGCCUUGCAAGCAGGCAGUUAGUUGUGAGUUCGAUCCCUG